rnacentral:rRNA from 1 species
UACGGGGGGGGCAAGCGUUGUUCGGAAUUACUGGGCGUAAAGGGCUCGUAGGUGGCCAACUAAGUCAGACGUGAAAUCCCUCAGCUUAACUGGGGAACUGCGUCUGAUACUGGAUGGCUUGAGUUUGGGAGAGGGAUGCGGAAUUCCAGGUGUAGCGGUGAAAUGCGUAGAUAUCUGGAGGAACACCGAUGGCGAAGGCGGCUUCCUGGACCAAUACUGACACUGAGGCGCGAAAGCCAGGGGAGCAAACGGG